UACAGAGGGUGCAAGCGUUGUUCGGAAUUACUGGGCGUAAAGCGCGUGUAGGCGGCCUAAUAAGUCAGACGUGAAAUCCCUUGGCUCAACCAAGGAACUGCGUCUGAUACUGCUAGGCUAGAGUGUCGGAGGGGAUGGCGGAAUUCCCGGUGUAGAGGUGAAAUUCGUAGAGAUCGGGAGGAACAUCUGUGGCGAAGGCGGCCAUCUGGAAGACAACUGACGCUGAGACGCGAAAGCGUGGGGAGCAGACAGG
rnacentral:rRNA from 1 species